rnacentral:rRNA from 1 species
UACGGAGGAUCCAAGCGUUAUCCGGAAUCAUUGGGUUUAAAGGGUCCGUAGGCGGUUUAGUAAGUCAGUGGUGAAAGCCCACCGCUCAACGGUGGAACGGCCAUUGAUACUGCUAGACUUGAAUUAUUAGGAAGUAACUAGAAUAUGUAGUGUAGCGGUGAAAUGCUUAGAGAUUACAUGGAAUACCAAUUGCGAAGGCAGGUUACUACUAAUGGAUUGACGCUGAUGGACGAAAGCGUGGGUAGCGAACAGG